GUGAGGAAUAUUGGUCAAUGGCCGAGAGGCUGAACCAGCCAUGUCGCGUGCGGGAUGAAGGUUCUAUGGAUCGUAAACCUCUUUUAUAAGGGAAUAAAGUGCGGGACGUGUCCCGUUUUGUAUGUACCUUAUGAAUAAGCAUCGGCUAACUCCGUGCCAGCAGCCGCGGUAAUACGGAGGAUCCGAGCGUUAUCCGGAUUUAUUGGGUUUAAAGGGUGCGUAGGCGGCCUUUUAAGUCAGCUGUGAAAGUCUGUGGCUCAACCAUAGAAUUGCCGUUGAAACUGGGAGGCUUGAGUAUGUUAGAGGCAGGCGGAAUGCGUGGUGUAGCGGUGAAAUGCUUAGAUAUCACGAAGAACCCCGAUUGCGAAGGCAGCCUGCCAAGCCAUGACUGACGCUGAUGCACGAAAGCGUGGGGAGCAAACAGG
rnacentral:rRNA from 1 species